UACGUAGGGUGCAAGCGUUAAUCGGAAUUACUGGGCGUAAAGCGUGCGCAGGCGGCUUUGCAAGGCAGAUGUGAAAUCCCCGGGCUUAACCUGGGAACUGCAUUUGUGACUGCAUGGCUAGAGUGCGGCAGAGGGGGAUGGAAUUCCGCGUGUAGCAGUGAAAUGCGUAGAUAUGCGGAGGAACACUGAUGGCGAAGGCAAUCCCCUGGGCCUGCACUGACGCUCAUGCACGAAAGCGUGGGGAGCAAACAGG
rnacentral:rRNA from 1 species